rnacentral:ncRNA from 1 species
UUAAAAACUAUGACGAGGAAAAGUAAAUAUUAGGCUGCUUUAAGAGAGAGAAACUCAUCGGCUGUAAAGUUUCUUAAGCAAGCAAUGUUGAAAACCACCUCUGAGUUGAUUACUGAACUUAAGUAAGUAUUUCCGCUAGCCGGCGUUAAUGGUGUUGAGUGAUAGAAGCGUUUUUAAUUAUGCUUUUGUAAUUUGGGUGGAAUUGGGACAAAAGAUGUCCCUAAAU